rnacentral:tRNA from 2 species
CGGGGAGUAGCUCAGCUUGGUAGAGCACUUGGUUUGGGACCAAGGGGCCGCAGGUUCGAAUCUUGUCUUCCCGACCA